AUCCUUUUGUGGUUCAUAAGCGUGAUGAUUGGGUUUGCACACGGCUGUGUGACAUGUGCCUCCCUCCAACGUUGUUACGACAUUGGCACAUCACCCGCCUGACU
ensembl:snoRNA